rnacentral:rRNA from 1 species
CGGUAACAGGAAACAGCUUGCUGUUUCGCUGACGAGUGGCGGACGGGUGAGUAAUGUCUGGGAAACUGCCUGAUGGAGGGGGAUAACUACUGGAAACGGUAGCUAAUACCGCAUAACGUCGCAAGACCAAAGAGGGGGACCCUCGGGCCUCUUGCCAUCGGAUGUGCCCAGAUGGGAUUAGCUUGUUGGUGGGGUAACGGCUCACCAAGGCGACGAUCCCUAGCUGGUCUGAGGGGAUGACCAGCCACACUGGAACUGAGACACGGUCCAGACUCCUACGGGAGGCAGCAGUGGGGAAUAUUGCACAAUGGGCGCAAGCCUGAUGCAGCCAUGCCGCGUGUAUGAAGAAGGCCUUCGGGUUGUAAAGUACUUUCAGCGGGGAGGAAGGGAGUAAAGUUAAUACCUUUGCUCAUUGACGUUACCCGCAGAAGAAGCACCGGCUAACUCCGUGCCAGCAGCCGCGGUAAUACGGAGGGUGCAAGCGUUAAUCGGAAUUACUGGGCGUAAAGCGCACGCAGGCGGUUUGUUAAGUCAGAUGUGAAAUCCCCGGGCUCAACCUGGGAACUGCAUCUGAUACUGGCAAGCUUGAGUCUCGUAGAGGGGGGUAGAAUUCCAGGUGUAGCGGUGAAAUGCGUAGAGAUCUGGAGGAAUACCGGUGGCGAAGGCGGCCCCCUGGACGAAGACUGACGCUCAGGUGCGAAAGCGUGGGGAGCAAACAGG